CUAUCCGAGUGGCCUGAGGUCCCUGGUGAGAGAUGAGAUGAGAUGAACCCCGGGUGGCGGUACCUCGGAGAACCCGGCAGGUGAAGACACUAGGGAUUCCCUAAGACCACCUCGGGGAAGAGGAGACCCCAGGGACCAACUCAAGAAGGGGAAAAUAGUCCCAUCGAUAUAUGGCAUAGGCUCCGUGAGAACACGGGAGACAGGACAGCCCUGGACAGCCAGCAACAAGACCACCUCUGUGGGAGCCAGUCAGCUUGCUGCCGUGAGAUCCCCACCUCGAUGGCCCUCACCCCAGAAGGGGGGUGAGAAGAAGCCCGAGGUUGCUCAUCACCUGCGGACUCUCCCCAGAGGGCCUCUAGGGCUGUGCGGCCACGGCCCACGGACAGGUCUGCCAGCGUGUGGGUGGGGCCAACGGGAGCCACAACAGUGACCUUGGUGACACCUGAAGUGCCUGGCAGCCUGUUGGAGCUGAGGCAGUGAGACCUGUCACAGUGCUCCUCAUUGGCACAUGAUGUAUCCUGAGGAGCUGGAGGUUCAGUGCCUGGAAGAAGCCAGACCUCGUGCAGCAGAGAAGCUGGCCGUGUGGGAAGCCACAUGGAGGAGGCUGAGCUGUGACGGGAGCCACCUCAUCUGCCAGCUGCAGAAGUGCCGUGACUACCGAGAGGAACCCCAGGUGGCUGUGGGGGGCGGGGCUCUCCCUGGAAGGGUCUCAGUGCCCAGGAGGAAAGCUCUCCGUCUAACGUGGUAG
rnacentral:lncRNA from 1 species